UUUUUUUUUUUUUUUUUGUCUAGGCCAUAGCAUUCUGGAGAAGAGCUCUAGACAAGAACUGUGAGCUCUUAGUUGUGAUUUCAGAUUUGUUGUUGCAGCUUGCUAUCUCUGGAUCUCCUUUUUUUCCAUCUAGAAAAGGAAAAGUGUUGGGCUUUCCUCUCCAGAUUCCCAAUUCCCUGAUUCUGUUAUCUGAUUUUAUAAUUUAUUACUGAUGGUUGCACUGGCAAAAUUCCCAGAUAUUUUGACACCACCUUUCCUACAAAAGUCACAGUCCGUUAAAAUGAAUUUGGCAAACAACAUUUUGACUUUUUCUUAACGUCAUAAAUACUUAGUUCUCAGAAUGUGAACAUGUAAAUAGUAAUGGCAACCAAUUACAUAGUAUUUACUAUGUAACAGGUAUGGUUCCAAUGCUUCAUUUAGUCUCACAACAAACCUGUGAGAUAUGUAGACAGAUAAAAAUUAUUCUUCUAGCUUUACAAUUGCUAAGAAAUAAUGUAUAAUAUGUCCUGUUUCUGCUACCGAAGUACCUUGGACAGACAGUCAAAAAGGGGUAAAGAAUGGAUAAAAAAUCAUCAACGGCAUGCCCCUAGAUCCAGAUUUUCUCCUAGAUUCAUGAAUUCAGGGUAAAACCUUAGACAAAAAGCCAGUGUCCAAGGAGCACAGAUAAAUUCAGCAGUGGUAUCUGUUCACUUUCAUGAAAACUGUCUAGAAACGUGGUCACAGGUUCAUACUGACCUGUCUGGAUGAACCUGAAGGUUUCUUUCUUGCUACAGAGUUAGGAUUGCAACCUGCCUGCAUGGAGAACAGGAUUCCUUCCUAAUUAGCAAUUGCUUCUUUUGUAGCUAUUGCUCCUGGAGCCAGAGCAACCUACUGGUGCACAGGGGAAUCCUGGUGUGCCCAGAAGUGGUUACAGUGAGCCUAAAUCAUCGACACCCUUGGCAAGGCUAUGGGGCCCCAGCAGCUUCCCCACCAUACUGCUGCAUUCCAUUGUGUAUGUGCCAAGUUACGCAAAUGAGUGGGAAACACCAGUAGAGAACGUAUUCUCUCUUUCCUACUUGCUGUCACUGAGAAUGAGAAUUCAACCAAAAUGUCCAUUUCACUUCAAGGUAAGGAAUUCCCCAUGGAACAGAAAAAGAGAAAAUCAUGUAUAAAACAGAAUCGCCACUCAAAAGAAUCCAGAGUUAUGCCUAUUCCAAUGCUGAACAGUUUCUUCAAGAAAAUGAAAUCAUAUUUAUUUAGAGUUUCUCUUUCUCUCUCUUUUUCGUGUGUGUGUGUGUGUGUGUAUGUGUGUGUGUGUGUGUGUCCCAAGCAAGGUAAACUGUUCUUCUUGUACCCAAAAAUACUUUUAAAGACCAAAAGUAAUGUGUAGGUCAGCCCUCGGACAGUUACUGCUACCAUCUUGUAUUACCGCUAGACCACAGUGAUCCAGAAAUGAUGCCAAGGGAGAAUCUACUCAGCUGGGCCUCUCUUGUUCCACACAAUCUAGGGAGUCAGGUUCUGAGCCUUGCAAGUCUAGAUGUAUGAUCUUCUCAGUGUCCCAGAGAAGACAGGCUAUGGGAGGGCAACCCAUACAAACCAAAUUCAUGCAAGGUUAAAUUAUAGCCCAGAAUGCGAUGUCAACAUUCUGAAAUUAAAUCAUCCAGGCAACUGGUAGUUACUCGGGAGACUGAUGUGGGAGGACUGCUUGAACCUGGGAGGCAGAGGUUGCAGUGAGCCGAGAUCGCGCCACUGCACACUGCAGCCUGGGUGACAGAGCGAGACUCCGUCUC
rnacentral:lncRNA from 1 species